UGGCACAAUACCUGUAUGUAGA
rnacentral:miRNA from 1 species